rnacentral:rRNA from 1 species
UACGGGGGGAGCAAGCGUUGUUCGGAUUUACUGGGCGUAAAGGGCGCGUAGGCGGCCACCGCAAGUCGACUGUGAAAUCUCCGGGCUUAACCCGGAAAGGUCAGCCGAUACUGCGGGGCUAGAGUGCAGAAGGGGCAACUGGAAUUCUCGGUGUAGCGGUGAAAUGCGUAGAUAUCGAGAGGAACACCUGCGGCGAAGGCGGGUUGCUGGGCUGACACUGACGCUGAGGCGCGAAAGCUAGGGGAGCGAACGGA